rnacentral:rRNA from 1 species
UGCGUAACACGUAUGCAACUUACCUCUAACAGGGGGAUAGCCCAGAGAAAUCUGGAUUAAUACCCCAUAACAUCACGAAGUCUCAUGGCUAUGUGAUUAAAGCUCCGGCGGUUAGAGAUAGGCAUGCGUCCCAUUAGUUUGUUGGUGAGGUAACGGCUCACCAAGACUACGAUGGGUAGGGGUUCUGAGAGGAUGACCCCCCACACUGGUACUGAGACACGGACCAGACUCC